UCUUCAUUCUUUCUUCUUUCAUUUAUUUCUUCUCCGGCAGACAUAAAAUAAUUCAUUUAUAUACUGCAUUAUGGGUUUGAAGGGAUUUGCAGAAGGAGGAAUCGCUUCCAUUGUCGCCGGUUGCAGCACCCACCCUCUCGAUCUCAUCAAGGUUCGUAUGCAGCUUCAUGGCGAGUCCUCCGCCGCCGCCGCCCCUGUUCAGCCGGCGUCGCUCCGCCCUGCUCUCGCCUUCCAAACCACCGCCGCCGCCCACAAUUUCCCAACUCCUCCUCCCCGAGUGGGUCCCGUCUCCGUCGGACUGCGGAUCAUACAGCAGGACGGCGCCGGAGCUCUAUUCUCCGGCAUAUCCGCCACCGUACUCCGGCAGACACUCUACUCCACCACGAGAAUGGGUCUCUACGAGGUCCUCAAGACAAAGUGGACCGACCCGGAAACCAAAACCAUGCCACUCACGAGUAAAAUCGGCGCCGGACUAGUCGCCGGAGGGAUCGGCGCCGCCGUGGGGAACCCAGCCGACGUGGCGAUGGUACGGAUGCAGGCCGACGGGCGUCUCCCAAUACCACAGAGGCGGAACUACAAGAGCGUGGUGGACGCAAUCACGCAGAUGAGCAGGAGCGAGGGGAUUGGUAGCCUGUGGCGCGGCUCAUCCCUUACUGUGAACCGCGCUAUGCUGGUCACCGCUUCACAGCUGGCAUCGUACGACCAGUUCAAGGAGUUGAUUCUCGAGAAGCGUCUGAUGAACGACGGCCUCGGGACACACGUCACCGCCAGCUUCGGCGCCGGGUUCGUGGCGUUCGGUGGUGUCAAAUCCGGUGGACGUGAUAAAGACGAGGGUGAUGAACAUGAGGGUUGAGGAGGGGGCGGCGCCGCCGUACAAGGGGGCGGUGGACUGUGCGAUGAAGACUAUUAGGGCGGAGGGGCCCAUGGCUCUAUAUAAAGGAUUCAUUCCGACCAUAUCUAGACAGGGUCCUUUCACCGUCGUCCUCUUCGUCACACUCGAACAAGUUCGCAAACUGUUGAAGGAUUUUUGAGAACGAUCGAUUUUUUUGCCGUUGAUCUACACACAUCAAUGUGGCUGUGUAUGUUUGUGUGUGUAUGAAUAGUAAAGAUCUAUUCAGUGUAUCUCAUCUGGUGGAGCGUAGAAUAAACCGAUGACGUAAUACAAAUGGAUUUAAGAGGCUAUAUUUUUAUUUUUGACGUCAUUA